GUGUCUUGAUUUAAUCCAAGAGUUUAGGUGGUGUAUAAAUGCAGGAAAUUUGCUUUUUUUUCUGGGGGAGGACACCCAGACAACCCCCACCAAGUAUGCAUCUUUCCAAGUUUGCGCCUCCAUUUUAAAACAUAUCCAGGCACCCAUGGAUGGUUCAAUGUUCAGCAGGCAGGGAUUCUAUCUGGGACAUGGCUGGAUUUGAGGCUGUUGGUGUUGUGGUGUGCAGUCAGAGGGCAAGAAUACAGCGAGCUGUUUGAUAUGAAGCACUCGUGCCCCGUCACAGAUUGGGUUCACUGGUUACUAUGAAAAAGGUGGCUGGGGUAGACAGCGGAAUUACAUUUUACCACUGUGAGCUUCCUCCAUUUGAAGAAGGUGACAACGUCCAGGAUGGCCCGGGCAAUGGCAGUGUACUCGGGAAACAGGUUGA